GUCAACGGUGAUUUGCAUGAAGUAUGAUUGAAAGAUACUAUUUAAACGAUUCAAAUUCUAAGUAACUAUGAAUUUAUUGACGCAUACACUAACAUAUUAUUUAGUGAACACACUUGAUAAAUUUUACAACUUUACAUUAUCAAUCACAUCUAAGAUGAAAGUCAAUGUGAUUAAAUUUGUUUUAAAUUGCAAGUGAAAUUUUUUAAUUUUCUAAUUCUUUAGUUAUAGUUAUUAAUGUGUUGUGACCAAUUAAUU
rnacentral:lncRNA from 1 species